GAUGAACGCUAGCUACAGGCUUAACGCAUGCAAGUCGAGGGGCAGCAUGAACAAAGCUUGCUUUGUUUGAUGGCGACCGGCGCACGGGUGCGUAACACGUAUCCAAUCUGCCCGCGGCUCGGGGAUAGCCCAUCGAAAGAUGGAUUAAUACCCGAUGGCGUGGUUUCUCCGCAUGGAGUUUCCACUAAAGGUUUUCCGGCCGCGGAUGAGGAUGCGUAUGAUUAGGUAGUAGGCGGGGUAACGGCCCACCUAGCCUUCGAUCAUUAGGGGUUCUGAGAGGAAGGUCCCCCACACUGGAACUGAGACACGGUCCAGACUCCUACGGGAGGCAGCAGUGAGGAAUAUUGGUCAAUGGGCGAGAGCCUGAACCAGCCAAGUAGCGUAAGGAUGACUGCCCUAUGGGUUGUAAACUUCUUUUGUUCGGGAAUAAAGUGCAGUAUGUAUACUGUUUUGUAUGUACCGUUCGAAUAAGCAUCGGCUAAUUCCGUGCCAGCCGCCGCAGUAAAAC
rnacentral:rRNA from 1 species